rnacentral:tRNA from 1 species
GAGCUAGACAGGGCCACAAAGAACUGCUAAUUACUUUGUUCUGCGGCUCAAUUCCGCAGCUAACUCG